rnacentral:rRNA from 1 species
GACGAAGGGUGCAAGCGUUACUCGGAAUUACUGGGCGUAAAGCGUGCGUAGGCGGUUCGUUAAGUCCGAUGUGAAAGCCCUGGGCUCAACCUGGGAACUGCAUUGGAAACUGGCGGGCUGGAGUGCGGUAGAGGGUGGCGGAAUUCCCGGUGUAGCAGUGAAAUGCGUAGAUAUCGGGAGGAACAUCCGUGGCGAAGGCGGCCACCUGGACCAGCACUGACGCUGAGGCACGAAAGCGUGGGGAGCAAACAGG